rnacentral:lncRNA from 1 species
GUAAACAGGGUCUCUCAGGACUGUGUAGGAAGCCCCUUUCCUCUAGGAUCAUAGCUUUGUCCUUAUCUUUACUUGACAGAAGUUCAAGUAGUUCUGGGGUGUUCUUGAUCUCCCUCCAAAGAGCAGCCCUGACUAAGAGGAGCUACGUCUACGCUGACACACCUUCAUUUGCUGAGUGUGCAUGGCUCUCCUCCCAAGCCUGGCAUCUGUGAGCCCACUUCCUGCUGAUCACUCAAGGAGCCCCACCACCUACAUCAUAUCACUCUGCCAUUCUUGACUGUUCCCACCCAUGGGUAGAUACUUAAGAAGAAAAGAGCCAAUGAAGACCUGCCUGACAGCAAUCCCUGGACACCCUGGAAAGAAAAUGGGCCACAGCUCCUCGACUGCACUGGAUCCAACUUGCUCCAUUUCA